GGUCUCUACACACACAUAUACAUAGACAAACACGGAAGAAAUAAAUCCAUGGAAAGAAAGACGAAAUCGAUGCAUGCCAUUUCUCUGCAAAAAGCAAUCUGGAGAGUAGGAGAUUGAAGAAGUAUAUUGGAGCUGGUAAGCAGUCUCAAAGUUCCCAUUAACAUUGGAUUAAUCAAACUUGAAAUUCAACUGGAAAAAACUAUCUUUAACUUUGAAGUAGCAAAAGGUAGCUCCCAAGGAAUCUGAGGUCCUGCUUUAAUCAUAACAACGUAUUUGAUAUCAUUAUGUAUCCUGGUAUGGCUUCGAGAGUUUAUAUUUUUGCAUCAUUUUGCUUUGUUUUUAUUGAAUCAAAAACCUAACAUUGGAUUAAUCAAACUUGAAAUUCAAAAUUUUCAGGGAAGAUAUGAGCUGAAUUCAGCCAUCAGAAGCUUAGAUUUCGAUCCCUUGUUUUUUUAUAAUGAAAAAAAAAAAAGUCUACCAUGCAAAAUGUUGUAUCUUAGCCCAGUUUUUUUUUUUUAGAACUAUUUUUGUUGGCCCAUUAUGAAGCACUCAUCUUGCAUGGCUCUGGUAUUUUUCUAUUUCUAUCUGGGCCUUGCUAGAAUUGUCACCCAAAAGUUCAGGAUUUUUCUUGUUUUUCUUGUUUUUAUCGAAUUAUUGCACCCCUGUUGUUAGAGAGGCUA